AACGCGAAGAACCUUACCUAGGCUUGACAUGCAGUAGACAGCUCCAGAAAUGGGGUCUUCCUUCGGGACUGCUGCACAGGUGCUGCAUGGCUGUCGUCAGCUCGUGCCGUGAGGUGUUGGGUUAAGUCCCGCAACGAGCGCAACCCUUGUCAUUAGUUGCCAACAUUUAAGGUGGGAACUCUAAUGAGACUGCCUGGGUUAACCAGGAGGAAGGUGAGGAUGACGUCAAGUCCGCAUGGCCCUUAUGCCUAGGGCUACACACGUGCUACAAUGGGCGGUACAAUAGGAAGCGAAAUCGUGAGGUGAAGCAAAUCCUCUAAAACCGCCCCCAGUUCGGAUUGUAGUCUGCAACUCGACUACAUGAAGCCGGAAUUGCUAGUAAUGGCGUGUCAGCAACAACGCCGUGAAUACGUUCCCGGGUCUUGUACACACCG
rnacentral:rRNA from 1 species